GGGGUUAUAGCUCAGUUGGUUAGAGCGUUACGUUGACAUCGUAAAGGUCAGAGGUUCGAGCCCUCCUAACCCCACCA
rnacentral:tRNA from 5 species